rnacentral:rRNA from 1 species
UACGUAGGGUGCAAGCGUUGUCCGGAAUUAUUGGGCGUAAAGAGCUCGUAGGCGGUCUGUCGCGUCUGCUGUGAAAACUCAGGGCUUAACCCUGAGCUUGCAGUGGGUACGGGCAGACUAGAGUGCGGUAGGGGAGACUGGAAUUCCUGGUGUAGCGGUGAGAUGCGCAGAUAUCAGGAGGAACACCGGUGGCGAAGGCGGGUCUCUGGGCCGUAACUGACGCUGAGGAGCGAAAGCAUGGGGAGCGAACAGG